GCGGUAGCCUCGGAAACAACAUUCUCCCCAGGGCUGCGUGGAAGAUCUAGGGGUUCUCGAGGGUCGUGGAAAACGUUCACCUUACUUCACUGUUCCUUAGGACCCAACUCCUCAAUGCACUGUGUCUUGGGAGCAGAAGCAGCACUCUCUGUGUGUGUUUGGAGCUUCCAGAGAGAAAAAAACCGGUAUCAGCGAGUAGAUGUUUGGAGGGGUUUCUCGUUGUAACCCUGGGUGUUCUAGAACUCACCCUGCAGAUUAUGCUGGGCUUGAAACCAGCAAUCUGCUUCCCAAGUGCUGGAAUUAAAGGUGUGCACCAGCAUUUCCUGGCCCCUCCAUUUUUCAGUCAACCAGGGACUAUGAAGAUGGUGCCAGAGAUUAUAAUGGAG
rnacentral:lncRNA from 1 species